CGCACACCCAGGAGCAGCGGCACCCAGCGCCCACCAACGUGUGCCCCCAUCCCGCCACGGCUCCGCUCGGCUGCAGCAGCGCAGCGCUGGAAUCAGGAGCAGCGACAAUGAGCUCAGACGUCCCGGAGGACGUCAGCGACAUCCAUUGCCUCCUGACUUGGAUCAACAACGAAGCGAUGAGUCUUCGCGAGGUCCCCCAGCCCAGCAACGACCUGCUGUGGAGGCAGCCCGAGCCGGCCGAGUGCCCAGCGCCCGCCCGCACCACCACAGGGCACGAGCAGCGCACUGGCAGCAUCCAGGCCCCA
rnacentral:lncRNA from 1 species